GGAGAGGUGGCUGAGUGGUCGAAAGCGGCUUCCUGCUAAGAAGUUGUGCUGAGUUAAUCGGUACCAUGGGUUCAAAUCCCAUCCUUUCCACCA
rnacentral:tRNA from 1 species